rnacentral:rRNA from 1 species
GUGAGGAAUAUUGCGCAAUGGAGGCAACUCUGACGCAGCCAUGCCGCGUGCAGGAAGAAGGCGCUACGCGUUGUAAACUGCUUUUAACCGGGAAGAAACCCCAGGACGUGUCCUGGGUUGACGGUACCGGAGGAAUAAGCACCGGCUAACUUCGUGCCAGCAGCCGCGGUAAUACGAAGGGUGCAAGCGUUAUCCGGAUUCAUUGGGUUUAAAGGGUGCGUAGGCGGGGCGUUAAGUCAGUGGUGAAAUCCUGCAGCUCAACUGUAGACUUGCCAUUGAUACUGGCGCUCUUGAGUGCGCUUGAAGUAGGCGGAAUGUGCCGUGUAGCGGUGAAAUGCUUAGAUAUGGCACAGAACACCAAUUGCGAAGGCAGCUUACUAAGGCGAUACUGACGCUGAGGCACGAAAGCGUGGGGAUCAAACAGGAUUAGAAACCCCAGUAGUCC